rnacentral:lncRNA from 1 species
UAUUCUUCUCAUAUAUCUGCUAUCAUAUAAUGUGAAGCCUUGCUCAAGAAUGCACUGGGCACCUAACUAAAGAAGAUAGAAUGGAAAUUACUACAAUAAAAUUUUAAUUCCAAUAGAAUACUAAAUAUAUUAUAAUUAAACCUUAAAAAUAUUAAAUAAGCUUUAAUCAAAUUAAAAAGAAACCUUAAAUAAAUCACAAGAAAAACAAUUAGAAAUCUUAAGUGAAUUGAAAGAAAAUCCAUAAUAUUCUUAAAAGAAUCCUUAAAAAAUCCUAAAAAAUAUUAAAAUAAUUAUAAAGAUAUCUUAAAUAAAUCUCAACCAAGUUCUAAUUUAAUCCUUUUUGAAAUCUUAAUAGAUUCAAUAAAAUCUUAAACAAAUCUUCAAUCCUAAAUUGAAUCCUAGAUAAAUUCUAAAUCCUAAAUCAAAUCCUAAAUCAAAUCCUAAUCAAAUCUUAAGCAACUUAAUUUAAUCCUAAUAUUAUUUAGAACCUCAAUAUCUAUCAAUCAAACCAUUGAUCUUCCUUAAAAAUUUAUUUACUUUUCAAAAAAUAAGUUAACAACAAGCACACAAAUUUUGAAGAUAAU